GGUGGUGGUUCAGCGGAAGAGUGCUCGCCUAGCACGUGUGAGGCCCUGGGUUCGAUCCUCAGCUCCA
rnacentral:tRNA from 1 species